GUUAGGGUUAGGGUUAGGGUUAGGGUUAGGGUUAGGGUUAGGGUUAGGGUUAGGGUUAGGGUUAGGUUUAUGUCAUUGUUCAACGGCCCUCCCCAUGACUAGCAUGAAGAGAGACCGAGGUAAAUGCACUGGCCGUCGCUCGUCAAGCAUUAAGCCAUCAGUACUUUAGGUCCUCCUAUUCAGGAAUUUGCCUUUAUGGGCUUCAAAAGCUCCUCCCAUUACCAUGAAUUAACUAUGGUUAGGUGUAAGUAUAGGGUGUGGUUAAUGGUUGCAUGUGUUUUGCUUUUAUGUGCACUGGCCUAGAGGUCACCCAGGAGGCCUCCCUGAUGUGUGCAGUGUAUAUAUGGGUAUGCAGGAAAGAGGGAAGGGGAAUGAGGGCGGGGCGGGGCGGG